rnacentral:rRNA from 1 species
AUUGAACGCUGGCGGCAUGCUUUACACAUGCAAGUCGAACGGUAACAGGCCUUCGGGUGCUGACGAGUGGCGAACGGGUGAGUAAUGCAUCGGAACGUGCCCAGAGGUGGGGGAUAACGCAGCGAAAGCUGUGCUAAUACCUCAUGUGAUCUGAGGAUGAAAGCGGGGGACCAGGCAGCAAUGUUUGGCCUCGCGCCUUUGGAGCGGCCGAUGUCAGAUUAGGUAGUUGGUGGGGUAAAGGCCUACCAAGCCGACGAUCUGUAGCUGGUCUGAGAGGACGACCAGCCACACUGGGACUGAGACACGGCCCAGACUCCUACGGGAGGCAGCAGUGGGGAAUUUUGGACAAUGGGCGCAAGCCUGAUCCAGCAACGCCGCGUGCGGGAAGAAGGCCUUCGGGUUGUAAACCGCUUUUGUACGGAACGAAAAGGCUCUGGCUAAUACCUGGGGCUGAUGACGGUACCGUAAGAAUAAGCACCGGCUAACUACGUG